rnacentral:rRNA from 1 species
AGUCGAGCCUGCCCGGUGAAUAUUUUUAACGGCCGCGGUACUCUGACCGUGCAAAGGUAGCAUAAUCAUUUGCCUUAUAAUUGAAGGCUAGUAUGAAUGGUUUGACAAGAAUAUAGCUGUCUCUAUAUAAUUUAGUAGAAUUUUAUAUUUAGGUGAAAAAGCCUUGAUAUGAUUAAAAGACAAGAAGACCCUAUCGAGCUUUAAAUAAAUUAAUAGAUGUAGUUAUUUAUAUUUUAUAAAAAGAUAACUAUUAAAGAUUUUGGUUGGGGCGACUAAGGAACAGGAGAAGCUUCCUUUGUAAAAUGUUUUAACAUAUAAGUAUUGAUCCAUAUUUAGUGAUUAAAAAAAUUAGUUACCGUAGGGAUAACAGCAUUAUCUUUUUUGAGAGUUCUUAUCGAAAAAAAGGUUUGUGACCUCGAUGUUGGACCAGAAUGUCCUAAAGAUGUAGAAGUCUUUAAGGGUUGGUCUGUUCGACCAUUAAAAUUCUA